CGGGACGGGUGAGUAAUGUCUGGGAAACUGCCUGAUGGAGGGGGAUAACUACUGGAAACGGUAGCUAAUACCGCAUAACGUCGCAAGACCAAAGAGGGGGACCUUCGGGCCUCUUGCCAUCGGAUGUGCCCAGAUGGGAUUAGCUAGUAGGUGGGGUAAUGGCUCACCAAGGCCACGAUGCAUAGCCGACCUGAGAGGGUGAUCGGCCACACUGGAACUGAGACACGGUCCAG
rnacentral:rRNA from 1 species